CUGAUUCUUCAGACAGAACUACGUUGUGGUUUAGCCUCCACCUCCCCCUUUCCCCGGACUGCUAUUGCUAUGGAGCAAAUGGCAGCUUACUGGUGCUCAGCUGCUGCGUGAUCUCUCCAGGCAGAGCAGGCAGCGGCAUAGCAUCACCCGCGGCGCAGUCCCUCAAGCAUGUAGGUGACUUACGUGCAAGGAAAGAACUGCUUGUUCAAGAACUGAAGUUGCUGGAGAAAACACAUGGGGACAAGCUGCAUUUCUGUUCCAGGAAUCACGCUGUGUAAAACCCUGCUUCAGAGAGUUCAGACACACCUGGUUGCAAGCCCAAAAUGGAAAUGUGCAAGGGUUGAAUAUUCUGUCUCGGUGUCCAUAGUUUUGAUGGUUGAAGGCAGCUGAGGAUGCUACCAGCUGGGGAUGGUGAGCAGCUGGGAUGAAACCCAUAUCCACAGAACCCCAAGUGAGAUGAGAGGUGAGUUGGAACCUGCAAAUCCACUGACACACGGGGAAAUUCCUUCCGAUGCCUGGAGGAGUGAGGCCACAUGUACAGCUCUCCUGCUGCCUCAGACGACCACACAACCCACAGCCAGCGCCGCCUCUCAGCCUGAUGCAACCAAGCACCGUCGGCAGCUGCCCCCAGGGCCAAUCCGCACACGGGAUGCUCUGCUCGAACCACGGUGCUUCGGCAGCACGGAGACUGCACUAAACACCCCCCCAGGUUUCUGCAAAGCUUUAAAAUGGAUUCAACAGAGAUGAAUUGUCCCUGGCUGCACGAGUGAACAG
rnacentral:lncRNA from 1 species